GAGAAGAGGAUGGCAAUUUUUAUUUUCUCCAUAUAUACCUCUUUGUUUGAUUUGUGUCACUUUUGCUAUUAAGAAUAUCUCAUAAAGUGAAAAAUGUGAUGUAAGUAUUCUUUCAGAGAAGGUUGGCUUGAUUUUUGGAAACAACUCUGAAUAUGAUGAGUAUUCAAGAUGAUUAAGCAAUUCUAUGAAAAAUUCAGAAUGUGACUAUGAAAUAAUGAGUCUGUGCUUUGUUUUCAGGUUUCAAAAUCUAAACCAAAGGUUUCUACAAUGGCAGUUGCACAAUGCUUUUAAACAAAGGUAGUAGCACUGGAAUAGCCACCUGCCUCCAGGACUGAGGAAGAUAGUAAUUUAGAUAUUCAAAUUCUGGCAUUUCAAAAGCAGUCAGUUAUAAUACUUACAGUCACAUUCACUAUGUAUUUGACAUUUGCAUAUAUGUAGAAAGUGACCUUAGUUUACCUGAAUUAAUCAGCAGAAAAAGGAGAAUGAAUCCAAGCUGGCAAAUCCACCAAUGACACCCACUGUUGAGCAGCUAGAAUUCAUUCUAACGUACAUUAUUCUCAUCCAUUAUUUAUUUUUUAUGCUAACACAUCUGUGUUAGAGAGUCUUAUGAUUUUUCACUAUUUAGGUAUUUUAAAAUCAUAUUGACAUACUUUCCCCUGUCACGCUGGCCUUAUGAGACAAGCAUUUUAAGUGUUACAAGGAGGUGCUGUUACUUCUACAAAGGUUAUUGUGGGAAGGAUAUAAGUACUCAGUUGGAAACAGUAGUGCCAUACAUGAGAAAAAAAUGUCACACAGUCCCAGGAGCAUUGUAACAAGAGUGGAGGGUACAUAAAUGAUCUCAGGUCACCAGUUUAGUGCAGAUAACAGAAGGCAAAAUAUGAACCCAAGUUCCCUCUAUGGAUAUAAACUGGAAAAUGCAGAGGAAUCUGCAGCACGGUAUCCUAGGAGCAGAACAGGGUGCGAACGUAUCCUGUGACUGGUUAUCUACAGAGUGCUGGGAUUGGGUCCAAGUACUUUGAUCCUCUAGAGGAGCAAGACAGCUUCACCAUGUAAAGCUAAUUUGGUAGAGUUCAUGGGGAGUACAGAGCUGGGUCCUACCGCGGGCUGCCCUGGAGACCUCACUGCAGGGCACACAAGGUCUCCCCCAACAGAAAUCCUUGAUGCUGUUGCUAUUGUUUUUUAGUUCCUGAGAUGCAGUUUUGUCACCCCCCAGAACAAUUACAAGGGAAAUAAGAAUUCACUGUGUUCUGAUCUGCUGCUGCUUCUGACUGCAGGAUAUACGCAGUAGUCCUCAUUAGAACAGGAA
rnacentral:lncRNA from 1 species